rnacentral:piRNA from 1 species
UGCCAUGGAUAAACCAAGUGUGAUCAGGG